rnacentral:sRNA from 1 species
GCAGAUUGGAAGAACUCAACCAGAAUAGUGCAAUUUUCUGCUAUAACCAACCCCAAAAGGUUAGCAAUUAUAUGUUUUUGUGUUCUGUCUGUGUCACUCAAAUAUCUAGGCGCAUACAUGAGUUCUGAACCACAGGAGAUAUAUGAAGUUCCUUUUGUGAUGUAUGAACUUUUU